GAGUAGCGCAGCUUGGUAGCGCACUUGGUUUGGGUCCAAGGGGUCGCAGGUUCGAAUCCUGUCU
rnacentral:tRNA from 2 species